rnacentral:lncRNA from 1 species
UCUCUGCAGUAGUAACAAAUAAUGCUUAUUUAAACAGCAUGCCUUCCAAAGGCCUUAGGUUUUGUUUGUUUGUUCAUUUGUUUUGUUUUUACUAACAUAUUUGAGACUUACAGCAUCUGCUAAUUUAUCUAAUCUUCUCUUCAAUUAUUGUACUUUCAGCCUUCACCAUAACUUCACGUAAUGAUUAUAUAAAAUUACCCUUUCCUCUUAUUUAUCUCCAAACUAAGUUUUCCAAACUUUAAGGGGUACCUCCUAGUUCUGGAAUUACAAUUUUCAUUAAAAAGUUGUUUCCUCUACCAAGACUGCAUGAUUUUGCAAACUAAUAUCAUUUACUCUCUCCAAACAAUCAUUUUUAGAUUUAUCCUAAUAAUGGGAAAGAACAAAAUUCAAAUGGGCAGAGAAAAUACAGUUUCCUUAUUUUUGCUCUUGUCAUGCUAACUUGAAGUCCAUUCUGGUUUCUCUCUUAAUCUGAGCCAAUAGGGGUCAUUAGAUAGUCCUUAAUAUCCAGAGAAAAAAUGCUUAUCUCUCAGAAAUUUUGGUCUCCCACCCUUCUGACCAUCUCCUCUCCAACAUGACAUCUCAAGAAACUUUUGAAUUCUUGUAGGAGGCGUAGAGGAUAAGGCUUUUUAUUUCAUUGUCACUUGUCCAUCUAGGCUGCCACUCACUGUGUUGGCUUUCGGUGGCCAAAGUCUACAGCUGGUAUAAUACAUACGGUGGGUUCUCUCUGAUUUAUUGGCGCCCAGUGGUGCAUUCUGACCUGCAUGUCCUUUCUCAGCCCUUGCUGACUCCUCAGGCACUGCCACUGCCCGAGGCUCUGUCCAGUCAGCCUCUAGGCCAGAUGGUCUGCCUUUGCCAUGGAGUCACACCAUCCUGUUCGGAAUGGACCUUGGAACGUCCACUGUAUUCAUGCCACUUAGGAACUUAGAGGGACUCGGAAGAGCGAAAUAAACCAUCUGGUGGCCAGCUACACAUUCUGGCUUGUUAAGUAUCUCAUGUUGGCAUAGGACCAUUCUCCUUCUGGUAUUUUCUUCAAUGUAUCUGUAUAUAUACCAGAAGACAACUUUCUCUGAAGGGUCACCUCCAAGUUGGGGAUGAAGUAUGGAGAAAGGGACCAUUGAGGUACUUUCCUUCCCCUUCUCCACUCUUUCCAUCUUCCUAAUUUCUUCCAUAAUACCCUGGGUCUAAAAGGAGUAGAUUGCUCCCUUUCACUGUGUCGUAUCUUUCUUCUACCUAAGCCUUACAGGGAGAAGAAAUAUUCUCUGGGAGAAAAAGGGAAAAUAACUUGAGCAGGUGCUCUAGGCUUGGUUCUUGAAAAAAAUAAGAGAAAAAAGAAUAAUCUAGACAUUCCUCUCUCAAGAAAAUGGCUUUUUAUGACCAUUAUAAGACUAUUUUAUGGAAAUUUUCAAAUUGAUAUUUCAUUGAUACAAAACUACAUUUAAAAUGUCAGGAUCUGUACAUUUUGUAUCCUUUUGUAAUUAUCCUAAUUCUCUUUUACAACCACCUGACCUCUUGACUUCUUCCUUACUAGGGGUUUCCUUGGGUCAAUCAGAAAGGAGGUCAUGAACUUAGAAAAGUAAAAGAAAAAAGCAGACUAUUUCAGAAUAUUACCUCCAAUACACUUACCUAAUUAAUUAAUCUAUUUGAUAAUACCUACAUUCCUUAUAGCAAAUUAGGUAGAGCCUACUCUUAGAUCUUCACAUAUUAUCAUUCUGUGACACCCCCACUGAAUCUUUCUCAAGCUUCAACAUAUCUAUCUUACCAAGGCACAACGAUGGCACUGCAAGAAAGUGUUCCUGGUUCAGAUGAAUUAUGACAUCAUGCUGUGGUUCAGAGAAAGGAUAAUGUCUUACUUUUUCCUGAUAAUACUUAUUAUUGUGCAGAUCUCAUUUUCUGUGAUUCCCUAUUACUGAUAACUGAUGCUGAGCAUAUGAGAGCUCAAAGCUCAUUAAGGUACUUAUCAGUGGGAAUUCCACUGACUGCAACAGGUGGCUGUGGUGAGAUGUUGGGAAAGAGGAAAGAUAGAGGCAGGCAUUAGUUUCCUCAUUUACUCUGAACCUGUCAUCAAAUUAUAUUAGGUUAAGAAGCUAGAAAAUGGUUAGCAACAGUUGAUGAAAUCAGCUUUGCCUUGUAUUGACUCUAAUUGAAACAAGUUGUAGAACCAACAUUAUGACAGGAAUGUCAGAAAUAUAAAGAGGAAAAAAAUACUAUGUCUUCAUGUUACCAAGUGAACUUUUUUUAUUUUUUAUUUUCCCAUUCCUAUUCAUAUUUAUUAUAUCAUUUGUAAUAGAUAAAAUCUUACUGACAGUAACACUUUCAACAUGAAUUGGAUUUCUCAUAAUAUAUUUAUGCUCCAAUUAAAGACAAUUUGACCUUGUAAGAUUAAAAAAACUUUUUGCCCUGAGAAGGUCGAGGAUACAGUGGGCUGUGAUUGCAACACUGCAAUCCAGUCUGGGCAGCAGAGCGAGACCCUGUCUUAAAAAAAAAAAGGUUGGGAAAACCUUUAAGACUAACACAUCAGGACUCUGACUAGUGUUUAAAAAAAUUAUGCUUUUUUCUUAUGAAGAACUUAUCACUGUAAUUGGUCUUACUGUUAAAAUAGCCUAAUUAGUUGAUGGGGACGAUACUAAUUUACCAUGACAAAUAUAUUAAUUUCCUGAUGUUGCUUUUUAAAUAAACAGAAUCAAAUUAUUUUUUAUCUUAAAAAUACCCAUGAGAUUAUUUUUUGUGAUGGUAUAUAAAUGUCUUUAAGCUUUUGUCAUUUAGUUAUCACAUCAUUUCUAGUCUUUCCCAACAGCCUUCAAAGAUAAUUAUCAUUCUUGAAGAUUUUACCGGGUAUAUUUGGCCCUUUGCUCUUUGAAUUUUUGGCUUAUUUGCGAACUAGUUGACAUUUUUCUGAUAUUUAGUCUGCUUAUCUAUGAA